ACGGCUACCUUGUUACGACUUAGCCCCAGUCACCGGUUUUACCCUAGGGCGCUGCUUGCGCUCACGCACUUCAGGCACUCCCGGCUUCCAUGGCUUGACGGGCGGUGUGUACAAGGCCCGGGAACGUAUUCACCGCGCCGUGGCUGAUGCGCGAUUACUAGCGAAUCCAGCUUCAUGGAGUCGGGUUGCAGACUCCAAUCCGAACUGAGACAGGUUUUCGGGUUCCGCUCCUUGUCGCCAAGUGGCUUCCCGCUGUACCUGCCAUUGUAACACGUGUGUCGCCCCGGACGUAAGGGCCGUGCUGAUUUGACGUCAUCCCCGCCUUCCUCUCAGCUUGCGCCGGCAGUCUCCACAGAGUCCUCAGCUUCACCUGUUAGCAACUGUAGAUGGGGGUUGCGCUCGUUAUGGCACUUAAGCCGACACCUCACGGCACGAGCUGACGACAACCAUGCAGCACCUCGUCGGAAGUCCCGAGGGAAAUGCGGAUUUCUCCGCACGUCCUCCGACGUUUGAGCCCGGGUAAGGUUCCU
rnacentral:rRNA from 1 species